UCAAUUCGCAGGCUGCGUACUUGGUAGUACGCAAUUUGAGGCCGGUGACGUCACAACGCUGCGCGGAGGCCGUCCCAUUUGGCAAAAAUUCUGAGGACGCUUAAAAUGCAGCCUCAAAAUGCGUCCUCAUUUUCCCCGAAUUCUGAGGAUGCAUCGCUACCGUCCUUAGUGGCCUCGCCUCCCACUAGAUUUCCCGAGGUGCUUUGCGCGCUUCUUUUUUUUUUUUUUUGUAGUUGAAGAAGAAGAAGAAAAAGAAGAAGAAAGUCGGAUUUUCUUCAAGUUACGGACAAACGAAAGCAGCAGCAGCGCCGACAGUAGUGCGGAGAACACCUUUAAAUGGAGCAGACAGAGGAGUGGAUAAAAUGACCACCUCAUCAUCGGGGCCAAAGAUACUGCUGCAGUCGGAUGGAGGGAAGAGUUGAGGCAGAAUUCCAUCUACAUGUUGCAUUUCUAUGUAAAAGUCACACAAGUUAAAAGAAGUCCUGUUCAAACACCAACGUACAAAUAUAAUCUUUUGAUCA